rnacentral:rRNA from 1 species
UGGUCCUACGGGAGGCAGCAGUGAGGAAUAUUGGUCAAUGGUCGGGAGACUGAACCAGCCAAGCCGCGUGAGGGAUGAAGGUACAGAGUAUCGUAAACCUCUUUUGUCAGGGAACAAAGGCGGGGACGUGUCCCCGGAUGAGUGUACCUGAAGAAAAAGCAUCGGCUAACUACGUGCCAGCAGCCGCGGUAAUACGUAGGGGGCAAGCGUUAUCCGGAUUUACUGGGUGUAAAGGGAGCGCAGACGGCAGCGCAAGUCCGGGGUGAAAGCCCGCGGCCCAACCGCGGGACUG